GAUGCAUUGAGAAAGAAGCACCACCAAACCUGUCUCUGAAAGGGUUUGUUUGACUUGAUUGACUCAAUCAAGUCUGAGCUCGAGAUCCAGCUGUGAUGUGCUGUCUUUGUCAAGCAGAAGUUUAUACUCGCUGUUCGUAACAGAAGAAAAGAUUUAGCACGACCUUCUAGAGCACAAACUCGUACGGUCUUUAAUGAUCUAAUAUCCUUAGUGCUGUGUUUGUUUUUUAUCGUGCUCCAUCUCUCAGUGAUCGGGAUUCAAGAAGCUCAUUCAUAUAUAUACGUUCGUCAAGGGGAUCCAAACCAUUCUGAUGCAGCAGAAAGCAUUAAAACAGCUUGUUUCACGAGAGAGAUUCUGGAGGGAUUUAAAUGUGCCGAUGACACAGGGGCUGGGUGAGAGACGCUAAGAAAAUACGGUUAUCUUACUAAAUCAAUUUACCAAUACUACAAAGUCAGGGCUGAAUUAUAAUGACAAGAACAAAGUUGCGGCCUCGUGUCCUUCUUUUGAUAAUUUUGUCAAAAGGGGUCGUCAAGACCUUGAUAAAAUGACAGUCAGCGAUGUAUCUGCCACUCAGGUCACUGAGGAAAUUGCCAUAGCUGUUCUUGAUCUGUGCCUAACACUUCUGCCUAUUCUCAUCUAGUAAGACUUAUUCCAUUUUCCUAAGAUUCCAAAAUCUUGUACUUAUUUUAAAAACCCAAUGACUUCUAGCCUGUAUCGUUUUGAAGGAAAGAAAUGUGUCGGUGCAAGAAGAUAUGUUGCUAAAUCGAAGCAAGAAUUGAAUAUAUGCAUCAGCUAGUAUAAGAAUAUUCAAGUUAGUUUUGGGAUGAACGGCUUUUACUCUGGUGUUGGUCCUUUCGACGGCAUAUAUUUUGGAUUGUGGUUUAUGGAACCCACUUGUGCUUCUAACGGCUUAAGCUUAGGAAUUGACCAGUUAUGCUUCAAAGAUGUAUAACUAAAUUAUACAUUUGUUCAGUUCCAUUGACACAACUUUCAAUACACACCACUUAGAGCUCAAAGCUACGAUAUGUGGUGGAAACAGUGAUUUUGUCGGCACUUAAUUACCAUCCCAAGUUCCCAACACUUGUGACAGGGACGAUUGUGU